UUCUGUGAUCCAUAAAUACACCUAAUUUAUAGGGGAGCUGCUGACUUUGCUGUGUCAUGUCUGUGGGUGCUUUUUGUGGCGAUGCCCAGGAUUGGUGUGGAGGAGGAGGUGUUAGCAGUCCAUAAAAGCACAGGCAGGGAACGAGUGGGAAGCAGGAGAUGUGGGUGUAAAUGGGAGCUGCUGACUUUGCUGUGUCAUGUCUGUGGGUGCUUUUUGUGGCGAUGCCCAGGAUUGGUGUGGAGGAGGAGGUGUUAGCAGUCCAUAAAAGCACAGGCAGGGAACGAGUGGGAAGCAGGAGAUGUGGGUGUAAAUGUGAGCUUAUCUCCUGCAGUGGCUGUUCUCCUCCCAUCCCCAAGCUCUGCUAGCUUUAAUCAUCUUAGAUCCGUGCAAAAACUCUGCAUAUGUCAG
rnacentral:lncRNA from 12 species